ACAUGUAUUAUUAGUUAGGUGCAAAAGUAAUUGUGGUUUUUGCCAACAAAAGUAGCAAAAACCACAAUUACUUUUGCAGCAACCUAAUA
rnacentral:miRNA from 1 species